AUAUUAAGCUAUAAGACAUGUCAUCAAUUUCAGUAGCCAUGUCAUAUUUGUUUUGUGAAAUUGAUUAUAGAAAAGACAUGUGGCAAAACCACUUCGCAGAUAUAAUCUAGGGGAUAAAUUAACUUAAUUUUGUAAGCAUACAUACUCUGAUAUUUUAUGUUAAUUAAUUAACAAGAUUAAAUGGUGACUAGGGGGUGAUAUGUUCGGGAGUGGCGUAUUACGUGCAAGGAGUAGUGAUGAGAGAAAGAGGACCAGUUUUCGUUGCGACAUUUAAUCCUCUUUGUGUCGUUAUAACUGCAGCUCUUGGUGUUGUUGUCUUGUCUGAAAGUAUUCAUCUCGGAAGUGUGAUUGGGACGAUAUUUAUAAUCGCGGGCCUAUAACGGUAAAGGCAAAGAUAAGAGAAUGACUGAAGAUGACGAAAUUAGCAAAAGGCUUCCGGUUAAGAGUCCGGUGGAGAACCGGAGAUGAAAACAAAGCAAGGUCAGGAGACCAAUAAGGCUACUGAACUUGAAAUUUGAAGACACUUGCAAAGAGAAUCUGUGGGUUUUUUCUCAAUAUUUAGUUUUAUGUUUUGUUUCCUUUUCUUUUUAAUUUGCAUUCCGCUGGUUAGAAAAAGAUUGUGGGAGAUUAGGGGAUGUAACUGAUGAGAUGAACUAAAUCAUCAUCAUAUAGGUUUUAACUUGAACGUUUUUGUGAGAUACUCAAUUCAAAAUAAUCAAUAGUCGCUCAUCCAGAGUUUUAAA